CUUCCUAUGUGAAUUAACAGGCUGAUGCUUAGUACCUGUGCCUUUUUGGGGAGAAUCAUGACAUUGGACUUGAACUAUGGAGGGUAAACUGACCUAUAUGUCUACUUUCCAAGCUCUCAGUUUCUCACUUUCAAAUACUGGAUUUCAAGACAUAUCAACCAGGCUUCAACGUACGGUGAGAUUUGAGCAAUCCAGGAAUAUGUUGAGGACAUAAAUUAUGCCAUUCAUCUGACUCGCUCAAAACUUUCAUGGCUGCCAUCCCGCAUGGAACCAAAUCUAGAAUCAUUACCAUGGCCGGAGUCACUCUCAUGAAAUUGCCUCCCACCACCCACUGAGGCCCAGAAGUCGGCUAGGGCAACCCCUGGACUCUGUAGGCAGGGAUAUGAACUCUAGAUUCAGUUGCCAACUGAAAAUCCUGGCUCCCUACUUACCUGCCUCCAAACUCCUCCAUUGCCUCAGUCUCCUCACCUCUAAAACGAUAGAUGUUUCAACUUAUCGUGUUUCCAAGAACUAAAUGGGACAACAGUCACAAAGAACAUAGGAGAAUACUUACCAGAGAGUUAUAAACUCACCGAAAAUAAAUGCGAAGUUCUUCAACUUCUCUAACAUUUGUCACCGAUGAGUUGGGGAUCAAUUAUUCUUAUGAGCUUUUCAAAUUGGACUGUUGGAAAAGUUCGGUGAAGUGGAACUGAUUACUGCCAACAUUACAUUUAAUGAGACUAUAUAGUUGCAUAUUCGAAACCUGUAAAUGACUUCUUCCUGAGAAUUCUGACUUGCGUAGCCUUGUCCGAAGUUCCUCCUUCUUGAGUGAGCUAUUCUGAAGCUUUAUAUACCUCUGAUCUGUAACAAGUAAUUCUGUCUAAAGAAAGAAUACAUUGCUCAGAGAAGAGAGAGCCACUUUAACAGCAAGAAAGUCCAAAUGCAAGUUGAGUAUUUUUAGUUGAUGAUGGAGAUACCAUCCAGGCUCAAACACUGCAGCAACCAUUUGGGCCCAUACGAAAGAUGUGUAAAUGGAGGAAAUUUGUCAGAAGAGACUAUUGCCAACAAUCAGUAUUUAUGAAGCAUCUACAAUUGGCCUUAUUUAGACACUCAACUGGAAUAACAAAAAAUAUUGACUGAUCUCUGUCUUCAUGGAGAUUUCAGUAGGGAGAGGGAGACAAACAUUAAUUGAGCGUGGCAAUCAUUUAUUAUUUUUUAAAUGGAGUGAGGUAAUAUUUAUCAAGUGCUCACUAUGUACGAAGCCUUGACUUGGUAUUUCGGAUACAAAGGCAAAUUAAGAUGCAGUCCCUUUUGUCAAGGACUUAGCCAUUUAACAGAGGAGAUAAACAACAGGGAGACAACUGCCAUUCUGUGAGUAUGGGUCUAAUUGUUUCUCAAAUGCUUAUUAUGUACCGGAGACCCUGCUAAGUCUUUACAGAAGGGUUCUCAUCAAUUGUGUGCUCUUGCUACUUUGCUGUAUGUACCUAUAACUAGACUCGGAGCCCCCAGAGUGAACAGCUACUGAGGACAUAGCUCACCAGACUCAAAGGCUAACAAAGGAGACACAGAAGUGUUCUAGCUUUUAAUAAUGUGAAUGUCGGCCUUAUGUCCACACCAUAUCAAGAUUCUGCAUUUCUCUAAAAAGCCCAUUCGUAAAGUUGAGUCAAUGAACUACCCUUUCUUACUCAUUCUCAUUCUCCUCUUUUACCCCACCCCCACACUUCAAAGAGGAGAUACCUUGAGGAAGAGUCUCUCCUGGCCCAAAAAGGCGGACAUAAAACCCAGGUAUUAUCAUAAACCACUUUUGGACCAAGUCAUGUCAAAUGAUUAUAAUUAGGUUAAUUUUGGGAAUCACCCUGUACCUAAAUCUUCUCAGAAAAAUAAAGUUAAGGGGCAACUGGGUGGCUCAGUUGGUUAUCUCCCAACACUUGAUUUAGGCCCAGGUCAUGAUCUCAUGGUUCAUGGGAUCGAGCCCCCCAUCGGGCUCUAUGCUGACAGCACGGAGCCUGCUGGGGA